ACUGCAAUGCGAGCACUUCUUAC
rnacentral:miRNA from 1 species